AAAGAGCUUACAAUUAGUUGAUUGAUGAAAAAAUAAUACCAUGGAUUUAUUAUCCCUUCAUUGAGAGAGCUGUGGGGUGGCUACCAUCAGUUUUGGUUCCACGGAAGAAAUAAACAAAUCAUUUAAUGUGUGUCCUUGAUGAAUAUGGAGAGGUGAAUGGGACAUAAGGAGAAGAAUGAAGGAUUGUUAUCAAGUAAUUAUGUACCUAAAUCUGAACUCUAACCAGAGUUAGCAUGGAAGAUUCUUCAUUGCUACCGACUGAGUGAGGAAACAACCUGCCACGGCCUUCACAGUCCAAGCAGGUGGUUGGGGACAGGAGGCCUAGUGAUCUGAAGCCGAGAAUUUUAAUUGGUUGCUGAUUCUGCAUGCAAGGCUCGAGUUCUGGAUUUUGUAUCUCCUGUCUGGGAAUGACUUUGCAAAAACGGAGAUUUGACCACAGAAGAACCACAGACCUCAUGAAAAGCCAUUUCUCCUUGGAAGUCUCUGUAUCAGUGUCAACUUGACAAUAGUAAUUGCUGAUGAGACCCCGAAAAUCACAGCCAGCUCCAUAAUAAUGUCCAUAAAAUGACUACAACAUUGAAGACAGCAAUGAGUAAAUCUGUGACUUUUGUCUGCUGCCACACUUCAACCAAGGACAGUUAAAGAAGAAAAUGAGGAAAUCCUCUCUCUGGAAUUUAGCACCUCAAAACUUUGGGAGGCAAUUAAUGGACAUUAAAUCAUAAAACAAUAUUUUUUUGAGAAUAAAACUCAAGUCAAUUUGUAAUGCU
rnacentral:lncRNA from 1 species